GACGAACGCUGGCGGCGUGCCUAAUACAUGCAAGUCGAACGCUUCUUCUUUCACCGGAGCUUGCUCCACCGAAAGAAGAAGAGUGGCGAACGGGUGAGUAACACGUAGGUAACCUGGCAAUAAGACGAGGACAACUAUUGGAAACGAUAGCUAAUACUGGAUGUGGUGUGAGGAAGGCAUCUUCUUCAUAUUAAAGGAGCUACGGCUUCACUUAUUGAUGGACCUGCGGCGCAUUAGCUAGUUGGUAAGGUAGAGGCUUACCAAGGCAAUGAUGCGUAGCCGAUCUGAGAGGAUAAACGGCCACACUGGGACUGAGAUACGGCCCAGACUCCUACGGGAGGCAGCAGUAGGGAAUUUUCCACAAUGGACGGAAGUCUGAUGGAGCAACGCCGCGUGUGCGAAGAAGGUUUUCGGAUUGUAAAGCACUGUUGUAUAGGAAGAAUAAGGUAAACAGGGAAUGGUUUACUGAUGACGGUACUAUACGAGGAAGUCACGGCUAACUACGUGCCAGCAGCCGCCGUAACAC
rnacentral:rRNA from 1 species